rnacentral:rRNA from 2 species
GUUGGUGACCAGCGGAAGGAUCAUUACC